rnacentral:rRNA from 1 species
AUUGAACGCUGGCGGCAGGCCUAACACAUGCAAGUCGAACGAGUGGCGGACGGGUGAGUAAUGUCUGGGAAACUGCCCGAUGGAGGGGGAUAACUACUGGAAACGGUAGCUAAUACCGCAUACCAUCGGAUGUGCCCAGAUGGGAUUAGCUAGUAGGUGGGGUAACGGCUCACCUAGGCGACGAUCCCUCGCUGGUCGGAGGGGAUGACCAGGCACCCUGGAACUGAGACACGGUACAGACUCCUACGGGAGGCAGCAUGGGGGAAUAUUGCACAAUUGGAGCAAACCUGGUGCAGCCAUGCCGCGUGUAGUAAGAAGGCCUUCGGGUUGUAAAGUAAUUUCAGCGAGUAGGCGUUACUCGCAGAAGAAGCACCGGCUAACUCCGUGCCAGCAGCCGCGGUAAUUC